GACGAACGCUGGCGGCGCGCCUAACACAUGCAAGUCGAACGGGGUGCGUUCGAAUGAAGUUUUCGGAUGGAAUUGGAUGUACCUAGUGGCGAACGGGUGAGUAACACGUGAAUAACCUGCCCUGGAGUGGGGGACAACAGUUGGAAACGACUGCUAAUACCGCAUAAGCCCACAGAGCCGCAUGGCUCAGGGGGAAAAGGAGCAAUUCGCUUCAGGAUGGGGAUGCGUCCGAUUAGCUUGACGGCGGGGUAACGGCCCACCGUGGCAUCGAUCGGUAGGGGUUCUGAGAGGAAGGUCCCCCACACUGGUACUGAGACACGGACCAGACUCCUACGGGAGGCAGCAGUGAGGAAUAUUGGUCAAUGGGCGCAGGCCUGAACCAGCCAAGUCGCGUGAGGGAAGACGGUCCUACGGAUUGUAAACCUCUUUUGUCGGGGAGUAACGUGCGGGACGCGUCCCGUAUUGAGAGUACCCGAAGAAAAAGCAUCGGCUAACUCCGUG
rnacentral:rRNA from 1 species